rnacentral:rRNA from 1 species
AACGAACGCUGGCGGCGCGUUUUAAGCAUGCAAGUCGAACGGCAGUAUGGAGCAAUCCAUAUGAGAGUGGCGAACGGGUGAGUAACACGUAGGUGAUCUCCCUCGGUUUUGGGGAUAGUUCGUGGAAACACGGGGUAAUACCGAAUACGCUCUCCGGGCUGUGGCCUGGGGAGGAAAGGCGCGGGUGCGCCGAACCGAGAUGAGCCCGCGUCCGAUUAGCUAGUUGGUGGGGUAACGGCCUACCAAGGCGACGAUCGGUAGCCGAACUGAGAGGUUGAUCGGCCACAUUGGGACUGAGAUACGGCCCAGACUCCUACGGGAGGCAGCAGUGGGGAAUAUUGCACAAUGGGCGCAAGCCUGAUGCAGCGACGCCGCGUGGGGGAUGACGGCCUUCGGUUGUAACCUCUUUCUAGCAUCGACGAAGCGCAAGUGACGGUAGAUGCAGAAGAAGCACCGGCCAACUACGUG